GGGCAUCUCACUGGAGAUCCUUGCAUACCUGAGGCCUUCUGAAGAGACCAAAGCCUACUUUCAAGAACAGAAGUUGCUGGCUCAGCUUCUAGUCUUACUCUGAUCAGUCAAAAUGAUUCAGGUUUGCUGUCCUGCAGGACUACAGUGCAGCUGCAGUUUCAGUACUGCUUCCUGACUACCUUGAUGCAAAAGUUUUAGGGUUCACCGGUUCUGCAUCUAAACCUGCUUCUGCCCGUAUCUAAUCAAGCCAGCAAGAGAGAACCAGGGAGGGAGAUCCCAUGACUUCCCCCUGUCUUAUCUUCUUCUCUGAGUGUGAAGUCCCCUGGGAUAUGCAGUUGUUCUUCCCUUCUGAGAACCAGGUAUCUGGAAAGUUGUCAGUCCAUGGAACUGGAGUAUUAAAUCUUUAAUUACCUGUGCUUUAUGUGAUGUUAUGAUGUGGAAUGUUGAUAUCAAAAUUAUAAAACCAUGACACAGUUUAGUAUGGAGGAUUAAUGAAGCAUAUAUACAACCACUUCCAUAUAAUUUUAUAUAUUCUCCUAAGUGGUAUACUGGCAUUAUAUCGUAGCAUAUAUAUAUAUAUAUAUAUAUUUUUCAAAGCUUUUACACUAUUGUAACAUAACUCACAUAUGCUUCCAUGUUUUCCUCCUGCUAUACUCAGUUCACUUACAUUUGCAAGAAGGUAUGUAUCACACUAAUACAUGUGUGAGCACUGGCAUGAUGGUUAGCGACAAAGCACAAUGGAAACAAAGGACCCCUCAUUGUGCC